ACACAGCAAGGCCGCUGACAGCGCAGCGCCCCACCCGGGCGAAGGCGCGGGGCUCAACGGAGAGGGGACGGGGCGUGGUGAGACUGUAAUGGGGUGAGGCGAAGCUGUGUGUGAAGUGUCGCGGCGAGGCGGGACGAGGAAGGGACGGGGCGGGACUGCAUGCAGCCCCUCUCUUCACCUCCAAGCCGGAGCGUGGCCUCAUCCCUCCCAGGUGACUCUCUUCCCAGAAAUGGUGCUGUCUCAAGAAGCCCCCUCUCUCCAAGCAUCUGCCAGGCCGUUUGAGCUGCCAGGAGUCUUUGUCCUGCCCCACCAGCUCUGUCUCAUCUAGAUGGGGCCUUCUGUCCAGUGCUACUGAACAGAAUGUUCUGCAUGCCUGGCCAGUGCAGAGACCUCCUUGCACCCCUGCUCCAAGGCUGGCUCUGCCACUGACAGAUAGACUGACAUUUGCACUGUUCUGAGCCCCUGGGGGUGCAGUAUGCAGAGCUAGGCCAUCUCUGUCGUCCUACAAGAACCAGGCAGCCCUGAGCAAGGCUUUUAACAUGCAAGGUGUACUCCACUAGUCUUAAGAUAUCUUGAGCCACUGUCUUGCUGCUCCCAACUCCCAAGCCACGCUGACUUUCUUUCCCUCGGGACUGAAACACCUCUGCUGAUCCCUGAUCCAUAUCCCUCCCCAUGAAAGAAAUAUAAUACAUAAAAGAGAGCCCUCUCCACUGAGCACCUCCCUUCCUUUGUAGCACUUACUUCAACUGACCCUUACAGGGAUCGUGUAACUAGACUAUGAAUGUCAUGAAGGCUACGUCGUGUCUCCGACCCCCUACUAAAGGCUCCAACCCCAGGGAGGACCCCUCCCCUGGCCUGGGGAGGAGGAUCAGGAAGAUCUCUUUAGUAAAAGGUCCGGUUGGACUGGGACAUAGGUCUUUCCUGAGCAAGAACUCUAAAGCCCACUUGUUUCCUUACUAGAAGAUGAAGGUUAGAAAUGUUCUUUCUUAUUUAAAACCAUGGCUUGCAAUGCUGCUUGGCCCUCAAGUCAAGCAGAAGCACAGCCCACAUACCACACAACACAGGAUUUCCUCACGGCUCAUCUUCCAAGUGAGAAGUGAAAGGAAUGUCGUGGGAAACCGCAAGAGUCUGUUCUAAUGAUAAAGCAGAGGUCCAGAGAACCGCACUUACCCUCAGCAGUGCACAGUGGUGAUGAACAACACGCCAAGCAGAAGAGAAAGGGGCCAGGACCUUGGACGGGGGCUGAAUUCAGAAUCAGCGCACAGGAGAAGUGAAGUUUGAGACUUCGAGAAUGAGCCGAAGGGAGACCUUUCUCACUGUCAAGGCGGUGAAGCACAGGCCGCAGAGGGGAGGUGUUUGACCUGGGGGCGCUCAUCACAUGCUGUGCCUAGAAUCGAAGUCCGGGCUCACACCAGACCUCCAAGGCCAGAACCCGAAGACUGGAUCUUCUGAGAACAUCAGAGAAAGACUGUCCUUGCCAUCCGCACUGCAACAAAACUUAGGGAUCUUGAAACUUGGGUUCAUAAUCUCACAACUGAGAAGGGUCCAUCCACACUCCUGGAACUGUACACCCAUUGGAACCUUUAAGGUAAAGCCAAGGAAGUCUCUCCCCAGAAGAUGGCAUCCUUGAUGUGAACGGCUUUUGCUAAGAUCGUGGAUCAAGACUUCUACUGUCAUGAGACUCUCUUUUUUUUUUCUUUUUUGGAGAUGGAGUCUUGCUCUGUCACCCAGGCUGGAGUGCGGUGGUGCAGUCUCAGCUCACUGCAACCUCUGCCUCCUGGGUUCAAGCGAUUCUCAUACCUCAGCCUUCCGAGUAGCUGGUAUUACAGGUGCCUGCCACCACACCAAGCUAAUUUUUGUAUUUUUAGUAGAGAUGGGUUUUUGCCAAGUUGGCCAGGCUGGUUUUGAACUUCUAACCUCAGGUGAUCCGCCCACCUCGGCCUCCCAAAGUGCUGGGAUUACAGGCAUGCACCACCACGCCUGGCCAUGAGACUCUUAUCUUUGAGUAUCUGUUCCUUGCUUAUGCCUCUAUGAAUAAUAGAAAUGAAAAGACGAUCUGUUGUGUGCACUUAUGGGGUAUACUUUCAUUUGUGAAGGAUUUUGCAGCCAGCCUUAUACACGGAUAACUUUAUACUUUGAUAGAUAAAAGAUGAAGGUCCAGUGUAGGUGAGAAACUUUAAUGAGACAUAUGUUGCCUGUAAUCAGUCAGAAACAGAAUAUCGGUUCACUCCUCUUAACCCACACUAUGGGUUAAAGAGGGCAUUGCCAGGAGGGCUUUACUCUUCCAGAAGGGCAUCACUUUUCCAUGGUUUAGAGUAAAAGAGGCCAUAACCAGAAAUGUAUCCCUCAUGAUAGGCUGUAUAGCAGACUCUACUGUAAAGGCUAUAGUUACACAACAGACUUUCAAUUCCCUUGUGAAAGGUAUGCUAAAUAAUAGAAUUGACUAAACAGAAAAGUAGUACCUGUGCAGCUGCUGGCACCUGUGGCCUAGGGAGAAAUACAUCAGGUAUUAUAGAGAUUCAGUUGUG
rnacentral:lncRNA from 10 species